UUUCCAAGAACCCACUUUCCCUACAAGAAAAUACUAAAGAUGGCUUUUAAUAAUAACAACCAAAUCCGAAGUAAAAUUCGCCUAGACACCCAAGUCUCCUUCCAAUUACUUUUUUGUUUUCUGGUUAUAAUCCCAUGAUGGUCACAUACUCUAAUAAGCUGGGAUGGUUUACAUGUAUGUAUAUGUGUGCAUGUGUUUGUGUGGCUAUAACUGUGUAAAUGCGUGUAAUUGCACAAGAGCAUUGACAUAAAAAAUGACUUAUAGAAGUAGAUUUAAAUUUAAAUAUUCAUUUAUGGACAUUUCAUAUAUUUGGGAUAUGGCUGGUUUAGGAUUUUAAAAUUAGAUUUUUAUCUCUUUCCUUAUUCUUCUAUCUUCCCUUUCUACAAUCAUCCAUUUAUUAACUGACCUUUUAUUGUUCGUGUAUGUGCUUAUACGUUCGUAAAGUAUUUAUAUAUGUAUUAGACAUCAAAGGCGAACGUCCCCAUAGAAGUACUUUGUGAAAACCGGGUCUCAUUCCACCAGCCAAUGGGAGAUCGUUUACAAAGACGCUUUGCCAAAAACCGAAGCUUUGAGCCAAUGAGAGAGGGCGAUAGAAACGUCGUGUAUAGUGGAGGCCUCUGAUUGGCCAAAACAAUUCAUUCCCUGACAGUAGAUGGCUCAGUGUAGUGACUAGUGACAGACAGGACGGUUUCCUUCCUAAACAAGAGCUAAAAACUGGUCUCUCUCUCUGCGGGCAAUACGGACAACUGAUAACGUCCACCUCCACUCAAGUUCUUAUUGUCCCGAUCCGCUGAAGUGAGAUUCCAAAGUCCCGUGGUGGAGUGGACUAUACGUAGCUCGGAAAAAAGGUGUUAUUAAGCUUGCUGCCAUUCUGACGUCCAAGUCCAUGAGCCAUCCUCGACCGCUAAGGUUUUAGCUUGCCAUAUUAAUGAUAAUGAAUCAGGAUGAAGUAAUAGUGUACACCCACCAACUGACUCUCUGACUGUCCUGGUGCACACCGACCAAUCAACUCUCCAACUGAAAGAAAUCAGUAACUACGGGGCAGCCUUUACUUCGUCAACCAACAGACGAUGCUCCGAGAUCUCAAACGACCGUAUGAGCUUGUUGAUCGUAAACGAGCAUAAUGCAAGCACUUUUACAAAGGUUAUUACUAUUUUAGUCAGGAAAUCAUCUGCAGAGUGCAUAUGGGACAAGUUUAUUAGACCACAGUAUGCCUCGCAAUUCAACAAGUAUCUGUGAACGAAGAACCGGACUUCAACAAAGCCUACAUUGAUAUGUAACAAGUAGAAUGUCGUACUUAACCUGUGUCAACAGUUGCCUAUGGCCAGAUGAAAUGGUCCCACCAAACAUUUGCUUACCAGUUAAACAAUAGUUUUGUGGCACAGUCUUGGCUUCUCAAAAUUCAGAAGGUUAUCAUGUCAAGUACUUCAGUACAUUUCAGGACAGAUGUUUCCAUUUCUUACCAGUUUAAGAUGACUAUGGGUUCAAUCAGUUUUAGGAUACUUACAUAGCUUUUUAAAUAUGAAGUACGGUAGUUCUGUGUGCUUCAGGAUACAUAGCUUUGCUUGAUCAGGGAUCUAGUGUCGGUGUGAUAUCAGUCAAAAGUAGCUAAGUGUGUCUGGAUACGUAGGUCAUUCAAUUUUCUUGUGAAAUAUUAACAAUGUGGCAACUUUCAGGAUAAGUGCUUUUUUUUUUUUACAUAAGAUUAAUAAUAGUUUCAAAUUAACCAUAAAAAAUCUCGAUUAGUUUUAGGAUGAUGAUUAGCCUUUAUUUUGUUUUUUUUAAAUAUAUAAUUGAAAUAUUAGUUCAAUAGUUAUGUCUUAAUUAACCCUUUCCGGUCUUGUGGCUUCUGAGAGAAGCCCACCAUCUCUCUCAUACUAGGUAUCGAGGGCUUCUGACAGAAGCCCACCCCAACACCGUGCAUAUCUUUGUAAUAACUCGAUAUAGCGUCCCCAAAAUUUAUCCAAUCCAUAGUCUGUUUUCUCUACUUGACGUGUA